GACGAACGCUGGCGGCGUGCCUAAUACAUGCAAGUAGAACGCACAGUUUAUACCUUAGCUUGCUACACCAUAGACUGUGAGUUGCGAACGGGUUAGUAACGCUUAGGUAACCUGCCUGGUAGCGGUGGAUAACUAUUUGAAACGAUAGCUAAUACCGCAUAAUAUUAAUUAUUGCAUGAUAAUUAAUUGAAAGUUGCAAUUGCACCACUACCAUAUGGACCUGCGUUGUAUUAUCUAGUAGGUGAGGUAACGGCUCACCUAGGCGACGAUACAUAGCCGACCUGAGAGGGUGAUCGGCCACACUGGGACUGAGACACGGCCCAGACUCCUACGGGAGGCAGCAGUAGGGAAUCUUCGGCAAUGGACGAAAGUCUGACCGAGAAACGCCGCGUGAGUGAAGAAGGUUUUCGGAUCGUAAAGCUCUGUUGUAAGAGAAGAACGGGUGUGAGAGUGGAAAGUUCACACUGUGACGGUAUCUUAACAGAAAGGGACGGCUAACUACGUG
rnacentral:rRNA from 1 species